CCUACGGGGGGCAGCAGUGGGGAAUCUUGCACAAUGGUCGAAAGCCUGAUGCAGCGACGCCGCGUGGGGGACGAAGGCUUUCGAGUUGUAAACCCCUUUCGACAGGGAAGCGGUACCUGUAGAAGAAGCUCCGGCUAACUACGUGCCAGCAGCCGCGGUAAGACGUAGGGAGCGAGCGUUGUCCGGAUUCAUUGGGCGUAAAGAGCGCGUAGGCGGUUUGGCAAGUCGGACGUGAAAAGCCGGGGCGCAACCCCGGACGUGCGUCCGAAACUGCCCGACUAGAGGUAGGUAGGGGAGAUCGGAAUUCCUGGUGUAGCGGUGAAAUGCGCAGAUAUCAGGAGGAACACCGGUGGCGAAGGCGGAUCUCUGGGCCUUCCUGACGCUGAGGCGCGAAAGCUAGGGGAGCAAACAGGAUUAGAUACCCGUGUAGUC
rnacentral:rRNA from 1 species